rnacentral:sRNA from 1 species
AAAAAUCCGCACAUAUAUCGUCACAUUACUCUGGGUGCCCGUAAAAAGGUGGAGAAUGCGGAUAUAUGGAGGCCUAAC